GACGAACGCUGCGGCGUGCUUAACACAUGCAAGUCGCACGGAAAGGCCCUGCUUUUGUGGGGUGCUCGAGUGGCGAACGGGUGAGUAACACGUGAGUAACCUGCCCUUGACUUUGGGAUAACUUCAGGAAACUGGGGCUAAUACCGGAUAGGAGCUCCUGCUGCAUGGUGGGGGUUGGAAAGUUUCGGCGGUUGGGGAUGGACUCGCGGCUUAUCAGCUUGUUGGUGGGGUAGUGGCUUACCAAGGCUUUGACGGGUAGCCGGCCUGAGAGGGUGACCGGCCACAUUGGGACUGAGAUACGGCCCAGACUCCUACGAGAGGCAGCAGUGGGGAAUAUUGCACAAUGGGCGGAAGCCUGAUGCAGCAACGCCGCGUGCGGGAUGACGGCCUUCGGGUUGUAAACCGCUUUCGCCUGUGACGAAGCGUGAGUGACGGUAAUGGGUAAAGAAGCACCGGCUAACUACGUG
rnacentral:rRNA from 1 species